GGGGUUGUAGCUCAGUGGUAGAGUGCUUGCCUAGCGAGUAAGAGGCACUGAUUCGAUUCCCAGCACCA
rnacentral:tRNA from 1 species